CGCCACCAGGGAAGCCCUGUGAUGAGGGUUUUUUUAAAAAAUGUGUUUAUUUUAAAAAUACUUCAUUGUGCCAAGGCCAUGAACUAUUUUAAGAACUUUAUAAAAUUUAGCCAACUACUCCUUAUUGUUUUAAGCACUUUAUCAAUUUUAACUCAUGUAAAUUUUUAAAAUUUUUUUUGGUUGCACUAUGUGGCUUACAGGAGCUCAGUUCCCUGACCAGGGAUUAAACCCAGGCCAUGGCAGUGAAAGCCUGAAAUCCUAACCACUAGGCCACCAGGGAACUCCCUAACUCAUGUAAUCCUGAGGUGGGUGUUCCUGUUUUACACUUGAGUAAACUGAGGCACAGAGAUUCUGAAUCACAUGCCCACUGUCACACAGUAAGAAGAUAAAAGGAGAAUGUGUGCAAAACACUUGUCAGUCCUUGCCCCCUAGUAAGGGCCAGACACAGGCUGUUAUUUUUGGAGUUGUGCUGUCACAGGGAGUAGGUGCUGCUGUGGGUGGGUGUUCACAGGGAGGAAGGUGAGAGCCUGUUGAUAACCAUUUCCUGGUUUUAAACUUAAAGUUGAUUUCAUUCUGAAGAUCUCAUGUGUUUAUCCCCUGAGACUUCCUAGUGCCUUUUCUUUGCAGUCCUUCCAUUUCAUCCUGUGCAGUCAUCUCCCAGGCUCAGAGGGGUGAAGCCAUUCCCAAGGUUGGCAGAUCUCACCGGCCUUCCAUGACUGAGGCUGCGACUGGAGGCCAGGAAUGCUGCUGGGUGGAAUGUGAGUGAAUGGGUCCUUGAAGCUGCUCUCUGGGGCCCAAUCUCAGCUUCCUGGAGUUCCUGAAUGAACAUCUGUCCUGGCUCACUCAGUUGCAGAAGACCCAUUGACCAAACCAGCUUUGCAAUCGUCAGUGGCUGCAGGCCCAGCGUGCAGCCCAGUGCUCUGCACUUCUUGUUUAGAACCCGCAGCGUGUAGGCAUCGCCUUGCUUGCACAGUUUUUCUGAUUCUCAUUGCAUUCCUCUGAGGAUUAUCUGGCCCAUUUUUUUAGAUAAGGUGGAUACCCAAGUCCAGUGAGGGCUCUGGAAGGCCAGAGCAGCUCUUCUAUUCCUGGUGACCACACUGUCCUCACCACUUUGCCAGACCAGACUGUGAAAUGGGGAGAAAUGCUCCUGUUGUGAGAUUGCUGGGAAAACCGGGCAUGUCUUGGUGCUUUCAGGCUCACUGUAAUUUUAAAGACUUGCAUGAAGAGGGCUCUAGGAGGAGUAGACAUUAAGAAAUUUCACUUUCAGUUCCACCAGCUGCUUGAAAUGAGCACUUAUUACCAUGUAGCCCAGAGGAGGCUACUAAUGAUUAGACCCAUUUCACGUUUUAAAAUUACAUAUUGUAUUAAGAGAAUGUGUACAAAAGUUAUAUUAGGAUACUUGAAAUAUGUGAUAUACUGUAAUUAUAGCAAUCUUUACAGAUAAUAUUUCAUUUAUCCUUAUAAUGCAAAAA